GGAGCUGAUAUCAGGCACGCCCAAAACAUCUAGCCAUGCCACACCCACAAGGGUAUUCAGCAGUGAUUAACAUUAAAAAUAAACGUCAGUUUGAUUUAGCUAAUGAAAAUUAGAGCCGGCCAAUCUGGUGCCAGCCGCCGCGGUUACACCAAGUGGCUCAAAUUGAUUCGGCGUAAAGCGUGAUUAAAGUGGGGUUAAACUUAAACUAAGCCGUAAAACGCCUGCUACUAAGAAACCCUAACCAAAAGGCACCCCAAUACAUCCACUUGAACUCACGACAGCUAGGACACAAACUGGGAUUAGAUACCCCACUAUGCCUAACCGUAAACUUUAACCUACAUCGCCAGGGAACUACGAGCAAAGCUUAAAACCCAAAGGACUUGACGGUACCCCAUAUCCCCCUAGAGGAGCCUGUCCUAUAAUCGAUAACCCCCGUUAAACCUCACCACUCUUAGCAGCCUGUAUACUUCCGUCGUCAGCCCACCGCAUGAGCGAGUGAGCCCAAUGUCAACACGUCAGGUCAAAGUGCAGCAAAUAAAGUGGUAAGAGAUGGGCUACACUCUCUAACCUAGAAAAAACGAAAGAUUACAUGAAACAAAAGGCGGAUUUAGCAGUAAAAUAGAAUUAGAAUAUCCAUUUUAACCCGGCACUGAGGUAUGUACACACCGCCCGUCACCCUCUC
rnacentral:rRNA from 1 species